CCUACGUGAGGCAGCAGUGAGGAAUAUUGGUCAAUGGGCGCGAGCCUGAACCAGCCAAGUCGCGUGAGGGAAGACGGUCCUAUGGAUUGUAAACCUCUUUUGUCGGGGAGCAAAAGACGCCACGCGUGGCGUUCCGAGAGUACCCGAAGAAAAAGCAUCGGCUAACUCCGUGCCAGCAGCCGCGGUAAUACGGAGGAUGCGAGAGUUAUCCGGAUUUAUUGGGUUUAAAGGGUGCGCAGGCGGAAGGUCAAGUCAGCGGUAAAAUUGCGAGGCUCAACCUCGUGGAGCCGUUGAAACUGGUUUUCUUGAGUGAGUGAGAAGUAUGCGGAAUGCGUGGUGUAGCGGUGAAAUGCAUAGAUAUCACGCAGAACUCCGAUUGCGAAGGCAGCAUACCGGCGCUCAACUGACGCUCAUGCACGAAAGUGUGGGUAUCGAACAGGAUUAGAUACCCCUGUAGUC
rnacentral:rRNA from 1 species